AGAGAAUGUCUCCUUUCCAAAUUGGAGCAGCUGCUGCUACUCCCUCUAAAAGAGCUCAACGGCAGAGACAGACUGAGCGCACUGCUGUGCCUUUUCUCCAGACGUCUAAAUCUGGGCGCCUUCGAAGGAGACCAGACUUCACCUUGGGGACAACUUUGGGGGUCGCCAAAAAGUACCCAGAACGUGAGAUUUCCCCUCUGCAGAACCAGGAGGACGCCAGCGGUCUGUCGGUCAGACACACGUGGUAAACCACUCUCGGGCGCUCAGGAAACUGUGUGGGGACAACGGAUAGAAGACAGAAGGCGUUCGUUGGACGGCGAGGAAGUUGUCUGACAUCCAGGAAGCAGGCAGACGCCCGGUCAGGAAGGCAAGAGGAGCGGCAAGGAGACGUGCGGCCGACAGCAGCCCUGCAUGGGGACAGAGCAGGGAGGAGGCCUGAGGUUCAGCUGCGCGAAGCGAAGCCCGCCAGACCCUAACGGACGGGAGCCGGGCCUCCUUGGGGACCGCGAGCUCAGGAAAGAUGGCACGUUCGUGUCUGCAGUGCUUUGGAGAGGCAGACGCAUUCAUCCAGUCAAUCAACAAACACCGCUGCCGACUGCUCAGCGGGCACCCGAGCAGGAGGCGGGACUGAACUGUGACCCGCUCUCAUCAAAGCCUCCCUCAGGGUCCCAGGGCUGCGAACAUCAGGGCGCCCAGGCCUGUCCUCCGGGCACUUCAGGAACAUUGAGGCUCUUAGUCUGUUUGCUUGGCUCUAACGGACGACGCGGCGGGGGCUUAGACGACAAGUGUGUUCCUCACAGUUCCGGGCGCUGGACGUGCACGGCCGACAGGCCAGCGCGGGGUCCGAGGAGGGCCCUCUUCCGGUUCACAGACGGCGAGUCCCGCCUGGAGGAAGGGUGCGGGCUCCCCGGCUCUCUACACGGGCGCCGAGCCCGUCUGGGGCUCCACCCUCAGGGCUCCUCGCCUGCUGCCACCAUCGCACAGGAGUCAGGGUCCCUCCCAUGCAUCUGGGGACACCCGGGCCGCGCAGGCAGCUCUGCUGUGUGCGCUCACCGCCUCUCUGACACCCACAGGUGUCGCGUUCGGUGACCAGGCUGGGCGUGAACACCAGCUCCAGGCCCUGGGGACGUGCAGGACCCCUGGCCUGGUCCACCAGCCACCCCCUGCUGCAGGGGGUGCGGGGAGGCUGGCCCCGCGUGCCCGCCCCAGCCCCUGCCCUCCAGAAUUCCCGCCGUUUGUGUGAGAAGGAGCGGAAGUGGAAAUCCAGUGACUGAGGGAGCACCUGGCCGCUGGGAGGUGUCUCCAGACCGCGGCACACGGCGUCGCACGAGCCGGCCUGUGCCAGAGCCGCCCGGCGACUCCUGCCGAAUCGGGCCAGGGACGGAAGCAGAGCGACCCCAGCAGCGCACAGCCCGAGGUGGUGUCGGAAGCGCUCGGAACCUGACCUUCUACCACCGCGUUUUCACCUGCUCGCAUCCGGAACCGGGGAUGCUCCUGACGCGGGCGCAGGAAGAGGCCUCGGAGGCGGGCAGGUGUUUAAAGAUGACGUCGCAGGAGGUUCUGCCGGGCUGUGGGCUGAGGGGGUGUGUGUCCCUGUGACCCCGCGAAAUCAGUGUGCUUCAGCACCAGGGAGGUCCCGCCGAGCCUCCAGCCCUGUCCUGAACCCCAGUUCAGUCCAUGAGUUCAAGACCCAGCACACGAGAUGCUACAUGUCUGCAAGACGUAGACGCUUCCUAGUCCACGGCCUGCGCUUGAGGGAGGGGCAGUUUUCAGAUGUCCUGCAAAUACGGAGCAUCUCUGGGGGACAGUGUGCAGGGCCAGCCCCUCAGAGCAGCCACCAGGUCUACCUCUUACCCCGCCCCCCAGCCCACCUCGCCUGCCUCCACUGCCCAGCGUAUGUAUCAGCUGGCUUGUCCUCAGCCAGCAGCACGCCUGCCCCGGGGCGUGAACCGCAGAGACGCAGCCUUCUUCGUCCUCCGCAUCUCCAACAACUGCAGCAGGUCUUGGCCUGUGGCAGGACUCCGGUAACUACUGCUGAGCGGAUGCAUGAAUAUUCACAUUGAUGACAGUGGGAGAGAACAAACGAGCAGCAAAACCUAAGAAACUAAAUUAAUUUUCACUUGGAAUUCUUGAAAUUUUCACUUGGAAUUCUUGAAUUUGACUUUCUAUAUUCUGUUACAAUGUUGAGAACGUUGCAAAGGAUAAAUCCUGGAUGUCAGUAACCCUUAAUCCGAAAGGUGACCCUUCCCUGAAAGGCUCUCAGGCCAAGGCGGCAGAGGUGACACUUUCAGGCGCACCCCCCGCCCCCACCUCCAGGCUCUGCUCAUCUCAGAAAGACACGCGAGCACAGUCUGGAAGCCAAACUCAAAACUUCUCCUGACGACGUAAGGAGACACUCACCAACAGGAGAGCUUCCAGAAGCUUCCCCAGGCCACUCGGCCUUAGAAACUCCCACCCUGAGGGCCCUGAGACUUCCGGGACAUUGCUGGACCUGUGACCGCAAGCAGGUGCUAAUGGCCCUGUGACCAUGAAGCCACCAGAAAGCUGCUGGCAGGUGACGGACCCUCAUCUGGGUCCUGGGUGAAGACUCGCUGUGUGUCACAGUGGUGGGUUCUCACGUUUGCUGCGUGUAGAAAUCCAGCCGCCUCACUGAGGUGCACCAGGGUUAUGGGUUGGUUCUGGUGGGAAACGCUUUGUGGGGGAGGAAGAGUGGAAAGAUGACCACGGGAAGCCUCUGAGCAUGGCUGGUGCUCUGUGUGUCUCGUUAUUGUCCCAUGUUCCCCCCAGAGCAACACCUGAUGAAGGGCUUGGGGAGGCCCAGGGUGCGUUUGUAAGCAGCGCCCCCGCGGAUGCGAUUGACGGGUGGGGUCAGACGAGGGGAGCCACCACCCCCGAGUCCUCUCUGGGUUUCCACAAAGCAGCGCCCGUGGCAAAACAGGAAGCAGGGAAGAUGAAGGCGGGCGAGGGGAGCCAGCGCCCUUCCCCCCGAAAGGCAGCCGAACAACGGCCCCCAGGACCUCAUGGUCUGCGCGGUUGGUAGGAGGCGAUCCGGGGAACGGACACGGGAACAGAAACGGGCCAACCCCAGCCAGCAGCGAGGGGCCGCCGUUGCGGGCGUGGUGUUCAGCAGGGGCGCGGCCCGUCCACAGCGCGCUCGGCGGCCAGGUUUGCUGGGGCUGGUGCAGGAGCACUGAGCCCGCUGUAAGGGUCUCCCGCCCCCACCCUGUGUCCCAGGCCGCAACGUGGAGGGACCAUGGCCCAGCCACCCUGCCAAAGCUCCCAGAACAAUUGUCUGCCCUCCUGAGGCGGGAAAGGGCCUCAGGGCUGCUGCUGUGACCCUGGUAGUGACUCUCUAGGGUAGACCCUGGAAGUUUCCAGAACAACAGAAAGUCAGGGGCGCCAUCAUGGAGUCACUUCCCUGGGGGAGUGGUCUGCUGUGUGGCUGUCACAGAUGACCGUGGCCCUGAAUCACGGCAGCCGGAGAUCAGAACUCCGACGUCUGCCCGAGGGCUCCCCUGCCCAAUGGCUGCUCCUGGAUCCCCCAGGCGUCUGUGCAGCCUCCGCCCCGCCAGACACUGCCCUCGGUCAGGGUCCCGGGUUGCCCAUGGGUGCAGGAAGGACUGGGCAGCGUUGGUUGUCUCCUCUCCCUCUGAGUGAGCUUCUCCGCCCGCCUGCAGCUCUCCUGUCCCCUGCAGGGCGCCAGACGCUGUUUCCUUCAGGGAAACAGGCUUUACAGUCCCAGGGUCAUUGUUGGGCACGUGGAGGUAGACACUCGCGAGCCUAACCCUUCAGGGUUCCUCCACGUAGCGUCACACCCACGCCUCCGGCUGGCCCGUCCUCUCACUGUGGAGUCAGCUCCUUACCCAUCAUGAUGGGAUUUAUGAGGCGCGUGUUUUCAGGAACAGGGCUCCCUCCCCCGGCUCCGGAGCACGCGGCACAGCCCUGCUGACGCCCAGAUCACCUGAUAUAACUGACAACCGUUAGGGUGAUGGGUGGCGGUUGCUAUGACGACCAUUUAGCCCUGAUCAGAGAGCAUCCCAGACAACAGGGCCAGCCCCCUGCACAGGUGGUAAAGCCAGCCUACAGCAGGGCCCUCGAGCUCAAGGCCGAGCGGGAGGUUAGGCGGUCAGGGUGAUGAGGACAGAAGCCGAGUUCCUGGGAGGAUGAAGGCAUGAUGCCGCUGCUCAGUCAGCCUGGAUGGUCGUGACUUCUCGGUACCUGGACUCAGUUGAAAUAAAGUCCUUUCCUCUCAGCUCCGUCGGGUUGUGGGGUCGGGGUGUAAUGACACCUAUGUGGUCCCAUCCCCGUUCCUGGCACUGAGCUCCCAACCCUGGGGGUACUUGGGCGAUGGAGGUGGGGGGGCCAUGUUUGGUUGUCAUGACAGCCCCUCCCACCCACAUCUGGGUUUAUACUAAUGGGGCGACUUUGCAAAAGCCCUAAGGAUGGGAGCCGUCUGCCAGUGGAGCCACAGCCACGUGACUAGAGGGUUGGACCUUCUCCGAGGUCCAGGGGAGGGUGAGCUGGUCACCAGUGGCCAGUGAUUUAACGGCUGCCUAAUGAAGCCUCUGCAGAAAACCCUCACCAAGGGGCCGAGAGCUUCCAGGUCAGAAUUUGGAGGUGCCGGGGCGAGGCGGGUAUUGCCCCUGGAGGACUCAUCUCUGCCCCUGCCCCGCCCUCUGCAUCCCUUCCACCCUGUUGUUUCUGAGUUGUGUCUUUUAUAAGGAACAGUCAGCUCUCUUCUGUCCAGCCAGUCGGUCAGAAGCACAGUGACGCUUGGGACUUGGGUGGUAUCUUGAGGCAAUAGUUGUGCAGGUUGAGCCCUUAUCUCUGUGGUCUGCACCAGCUGCAGGGGGAAAGUGUAAGUGAAUUAAUUCGUAGACCCCCAGUCACGUCUCAGAGAAAUGCAGAGUUGCUUGCAUGGGAACCCACUUGGCUGGUUUAGAAAGUGUGUCUACACCAGCACUGGGCCACUGGAGAACAAAGUCUGCAGGGACCUUGGGGACCAGGGCCUUGGGGGGAGGGCCCCGGCCCAAGACAGAAAGAGGAGACCUUCCCCCUCAGUGCCCCCAGCUCCACCCUGGUCCUUUGCGGCUCCUCUGCCCCUCCAGUCUGACCCCCACCGACCACCCACUUAAACUAGCUACUUCAUGGAUCUUGAACAUCUGUGAGGGUUAGGUCUGGCUGAAUGUAACACAUGGGCAGAAAAAAAGGAAAAACCAUACAUGACUUAAACGAAAUGGAAAGUUGGUCCCUUCACUGAGCUAAGUCCAGUGGCAGAGGGUCGGGACAGAGUUGAUGGCUGCCUCGGCAGGGCCCUCUUGCUCCUCUGCCAUUUUUUUGACUUCGGCCUCAUGGCUGAAAAAGGCUGCUGUGAUACCAGCCAUCACUUCCACACACCACAGGCAGGAAUAGGGGGGUGGGGGGGCUUUCACUCUCUUCUCUGAAGCCAUUGCACCCACUGGUUCGGGUUGAGUCCCAGGCUGUACCUGGCCACAGGGAGGGUGGGGAGUCCUGUCUUUGCUGGGGCAGAACGGGCCACACUACACAAUUGGAGUUCUUUUCCCCGGGGGAAGGGGUGUGCAUUCUGUACAGCAACCAGUGUCCUGUGUCUCCCUCCUAACUAGUAAUUAGCACCUCGCUUGCACACACACCAGACUAGUGCCACAUUACGCACUUCCCCGAGUCUCCCCCCAGCUGUGAUUGGCACCUCGCAUGCACACGCACAGUGAUGCUGCAGUGCACAGUUCACGCCCACCCGUGUGCCUAGUCCUCAUCUCAGCCCAGGCGGGAGGUCAGCUUAGUUUAGGUAACCAGCCGGGGUUACCAGCAAGCUGCCGGUGUGCAGAAGACUUGAACUAGCGUGUCUCACCCCGCUUCUCGCACCUGUUCUGGAGCGGGUCCGAGACAGACCUGGAGCAGCGCAGAGGCCCCGGCCAUCUCCUCCCGCUGAGCCUGCCGGGGUGAGACAGGCCCAGGAAUAUCCGUGUGCUGUGGGCUCCGCCAAAAUAAAUAA
rnacentral:lncRNA from 1 species